GAUGAACGCUGGCGGCGUGCCUAAUACAUGCAAGUCGAACGAGUUCUCGUUGACGAUCGGUGCUUGCACCGAGAUUCAGCAUGGAACGAGUGGCGGACGGGUGAGUAACACGUGGGUAACCUGCCCUUAAGUGGGGGAUAACAUUUGGAAACAGAUGCUAAUACCGCAUAGAUCCAAGAACCGCAUGGUUCUUGGCUGAAAGAUGGCGUAAGCUAUCGCUUUUGGAUGGACCCGCGGCGUAUUAGCUAGUUGGUGAGGUAAUGGCUCACCAAGGCGAUGAUACGUAGCCGAACUGAGAGGUUGAUCGGCCACAUUGGGACUGAGACACGGCCCAAACUCCUACGGGAGGCAGCAGUAGGGAAUCUUCCACAAUGGACGCAAGUCUGAUGGAGCAACGCCGCGUGAGUGAAGAAGGCUUUCGGGUCGUAAAACUCUGUUGUUGGAGAAGAAGGUCGGCAGAGUAACUG
rnacentral:rRNA from 2 species